UCUUGAUCCCCCUCGUCCUCAAGCUCCUCCGCCCCCACAUGCCGCUGCACUUGCGGGGUAAACCCUAGCCGUGCCCCCUGCGCAGGCUGCGCUGCGUGUUCCCCUUCCACUACGCCCCUCCGUGCGGUAGCAGCGGUGGUUUUUAUUUUCCUCUCCCUCCUCACUAGCAACGCAGCGGGUGCAUCGUCGACGGCGGCAGUGAAGCAGCCCCCGCACCACCACGUCAUCGAUGGUGGCAGAUCUCCUUCGCAGAGGCAGUUGAGAAAUCUCGCAAGUUGUUCGACGGGGCGCUGAAUCUCCUUUGGUCCUGAAGCACUCGUGGGUGGCUUUGCCAUGGCCGACAGAGAGGAGGUAGACCCCGGCGAGAAGCCCCUCAACGAGCUCGGCUACAACUACAACCAAGAUCUCUGGAGGGAUGACGUUGUCCAUCUCCUUUUUGACGAUGACGGUCUUCAUGAAGAUCACACUGCUAUAUGUGAGCAGCCUGCAGUACACCCAGCCGGCAUCCCUCGUGUGUGAAUGGGUUGUGGUCUCCUUCACUUGGUUUGUCGACGUCACCAUGACCGAGAACUCCUCCUCCUUCCAUGUAGAUUUUGAACCUGCUCAAUAGUGGAGCGCUACAAUAUUAGUGGAUGAUGAACACCCUCAGUGGUGAAGUCUACAAUAGGGUAAUAUGAGUGUCAAAAACAAGCUCUUCAAUGUCAGCAUGUUAUUUUGUAACAUUAAUAAAUGAAAGGCCCCGUGUUUAUUAUUUCUAUACAGAAUCCGAUGGAAAAGGCAUUUAUUUUCCAAGCCGAUCAAGCUACAUAACACCUGGUGGAGCAAAUAACAACAAUUAUGCGAAUGUGCAGCUCAUUGUAGAGUUUGGCCUGGCUUGGGACAUGCUUCUGAGAACCCACAACUUCCAGAUGCGUCGAAUGAAAAGGGAAUUGUUUUUCUUGGGCCACCAUCAGUCGCGAUUGCUGCAUUAGGCGAUAAGACUGGUUCUUCUCUUAUUGAGAAAGCAACGGGAGUUCCAACUCUUCCAUCGAGGGGAUCACAUAUUCGCUGAAUAGAUGACCAAGGCAAUUGAGCCGAGGAGAGACCUACUGAAUUGGACCUGCGGGAGCAUGUCUCACAUGGCUUGACUACGUAAGGAUUUGGUUGAAUGGAAGGAUCACACAACAUGUAGCUCCACUGGUGGGAAUAGUGACGCGAAAUUUUACUACUCGAGAAUUAUGUUCUACAAAAUUUUGAGGACAAAAGGUUCUUCUCAGGGGCUGAGGCAUACAGCGUAGUGUGAAUUUUAUGGAGCUAUACUUGAAUAUGAACACUCAGUUUGCUUCCCAGGUUUCUCUGAGCUCCAGUAUUUCCAAAAAUUAUGUUCUUUUGUUCUUCUCUUGAGGUGGCAAUUAAGAUUGAAAUAGCUCAUAAGAACAUAAGGAUGCUCGAUGUGAACUGGUAUACUUAUCUCUCUCUUUGUAUGUUGCUUUCUACAUGAAAGUAGACACUUGUGUGGCUUGAUUAUUUUUUUAUGAUUCUAAUAUGGUGGAAUAGUUACGUUGAAUUUGUAAAAACAUUUUCUUUGUAUGUUUAGUAGUAGGGCUGAACACUGAAAGGAGCUGAACUAAUCUGAGUUUGGUUUUGGUUAAUUCACAGAGGAAUCAAGAAGAAAGAAUGCGCAUGAAUAAGAUAAUAAGGAGGUGCAUUCUCUCAGACUGUACAUAGUGCAACCCAAAAUAAAGUAAUUCAGUUUUCACUGCAGAUAUAUGCCUUUUUUAUGAGCUCUGUUUGUAUUAUCUCUAGACCAGUGCAUUCUCUAAAUGUGCGAGACACUCAUUCCUUCCUGUUCGCUGAACACUAUAUUGAUAUAGGGAAGGCUAUUUUAGAGCAUCGGCCUGAGCUACAACAGUGUCGCCCAGAAUUUCCUUCUUGGUAUUGUAUAGAUAGAUUUUGUUUGAAAUACCAUCCAUAUAUUUAUUGCACUCUCUAACAACAGUCCAUAAGGUGCACUCUACAUCCUUUACUGGUAUUUGAUUUCCUUUGGUCAUGUGUGACAAUUGGGUGGUACCACUUUGUCCUUUAUAAAAAUGUCUGACAAUGGUGACAAUAUACAUGCAGAUUUUUGUGUUUAUUAAACAACAGUUUUCAUUGAAGUGCAAAGAAGGCAAUCGAAAGUGGACUGGAUAUUAUGCGUAGUUUCCUUCAUAGGCACACAGGAAUAUGUUGUUUCAAAGGGAAGCUUGGCUCUUCAGCUGUUACGGCGUGGGCCGUGAUUAAGAUCUGGCAGGCCAUCAACCCGAAGAGCGUCCUCAAGCCCCAUCACCCGCCAAGACAAUCAUCAAGGCCGUGGCCACCGCCCUCUGAUCAAAGAGGAGCCAGAGUAACUAGAGAUUCAACUUACCUUCAUCACAACCACUUGCAAAGAGAAGCCUGCAUUCUCAAUUCCCGCUGGUGUGUGACAUUGUAUAUAUGUGUGCUGGCACGUGGGAGCAAGGAGCAACCUGAGUGCUAUGUAUUUUUCCUCUGCUGGUGUGAACGUUUGUGUGUUCUGAGUGGAUCGUUGUUUGGUCUGUCUAUGAGCUGAUGUGUUACUUGAUGAAUGGAGGGCUACUGCUUGUUUUUACUG